rnacentral:tRNA from 1 species
UCCGAGAUAGUUUAGUGGCUAGAAUUACCGCUUGUCGCGCGGUAGACCGGGGUUCAAUUCCCCGUCUCGGAGC